ACUUAACCCUGACUCGGACAAACCUGGAUAAUUCGGUACGAGUUUAACCCAUACUGGAUUAAAAUAAAUAUGAUAUCUGGAUGCAAUUUUGCUGACCUGGAUACAUCCGGGUUCGGUUCUAGGUUUGGGUGAACCCAUAGAUCCGGAACCCAGACCCGGAUAUCUUAUUUUAAAAUUAGUUUUUUUAAAUUAUUUUUAAUAUAAAUACAAAGAUUAAAAAAGAAAUUCUAAUUGCCCUAGUUUCACAUAUCAUAGCCAUAGCCUCUAAACAUUUCAUUUCUUUUCAACUCCUCCUCAUCAAAUCAAAUCACUGUGCUUUGCCAAUCCCUACCUUCACAACUCUAUUCAUCAUCAUCAUUAUCAGUCACCAUUUGUCCAGCUGUGAUACGGUUGAAAACGCGACCUUCAUCAUCAUCGGUUGAAAAUAAACUGAGACGGCGAGAUAUCCGGUUGAAAACAACACCGACAGCGAGAUAUCCAGUUGAAAACAAUAGCAUCAGUCGAAAACAUCCUUUUCAUCAUCAUCAAGGCAUGCAUUUUGCUUUGCCUUGUUCAUCUUUUUCUGCCUUUUUUUCCUCUGAUAUGGCAGUAAAGUGAGAUCUUCAAAUGCAUGACAGCUCCCAUAAUUUCUCCCUCGUUUUAAUUUAUUUCCUCUGCUUUUAAUAUUUUUCUUGCAAAUGAAUAUUAUUCUUAUUGAUGAUUAUUGUAUUUGUGGAUGCUUUAUUGCUUAGAAACAUUGAAAUUUAAUCUAUAUCUUAUUUUAUUUUAUUAUAAUAUGGAUUUAUUUGUAUUUUAAUUUUUACUUAAUUCACUAAUCCGGGUUCAAAAUUCGAAAUCCAGAAACCCAAGUUUUUUUCUAGUUAAACCCAACCGGACCCGGAUGGAAAAAGUUUGGGUUUGAAUAUGGAUCCGGCAAAAGAAAAUCAUAUCCAGAUCUGAAACCGGGAUGGCUGAACUCGGACUCGGAUCUUGUCAUCCCUAGAGUCAUGUACAUGAAAGAAAAGAAAAAAAUGAAGAAAAAAAUGAAGGAGUAAGGAUAAGAAAAAAAAAACAAAUAAAAGGAAAAGAUGAAAGAGUAAUGAUGAGAAAAAAAUGAAAGACAAAAACAAAGAAAAAUGAAAGAAAAAGACAAAGAUGGUAUGGCUUUUUAAUUUUAAAAUUUGAUUUUGAUGGCAUUAUCAUAAUUUACAUAUGAUGGCAUGUCUUGUAAUUUAUUUAACUAACAUGUCUAAUUUAGGAAAACUAUCAAUUUAUUUAGGUUCAUUAAGUCAUUUCAACACUUUAUUUUUAAUUUAUUUUUCAAUGACUAGUUAUACAUCAACUAUUUUUUUUUAUUUUUCAAUGACUAGUUAUACAAUAAAUUUUUUUUAGCCUCACAAUGACGUCAAGAAUAUUCUGUUAAGAAAAAUAUAUUUUCGUAUUUUUAUGAGUCAACGGCGGUCAAUGGUUAAAGAUAAUAAAUUUUAGGGAUAACUUGAUGUUUUCAAUAAUAAGGAGGCAAUUUGAAGAUUAUCACAUCAUGAGGGGGUAGGCUGAAAUUUUCUCUAUAUAUAUUAAUAACUUAGUGUCCUUAGUGUCUCAUUCUUGCUCUUCCUUGUCUGAUUGGCUAUAUCAAUAAAUAAUUCACAAUAGACAGCAUCAACACCGAAAGCCCAAAACACGUGUUACUCACGGUACAAAAACACGUGAAUAUACAAACAUUUAGAGUGUGAUAAUCAUGGUUUUAAAGCUGGAUUGGGAAAUAGUUAAAAUAAAAGGUUCUUCACAAUCGUUAAAAUAACAUUUAGAAUGUGACAAUCAUCUUCUUCUUGUUUUUAUCUCUUUCAAAAAAAUUUGUAUAGACUAAUUUCGCUACUUCAACAAGGGGACAUAAAGUAGGAUCUACUAUUUUAUAAUAUUAAAUUUAAUGAAUUCCAGUAUAAAAACUUACUGAUGAAUUAUCCCAUCAUUUAUCACCCAGUUAAUUUUUUUUUUUUUUUUUAUCUAUCCAACAGGUUUUUUAACUACUAGAUUUCUGUAUGCACCCACCUUUGUCACUUUUCAAUCUUUUCGAACGAAAAACAUGUGGUUUUCGAAAAGUAAAAUUCUACGAGAAUAGGAAGAUGAGAAAAAAUGUAUUGAAAAAGAAGAAAGAAUAAACUGAUUAGAGAGAAAAAAAAACAGAAAAAUUAUUUCAUCUUUCUCUCGUCUUUAUCCGUCUUUAUCGUUACUCUUCCGACAUGGCUCCUUUCUCAACUCUUAGUUUACCUAAAAAUUAAAAUUCUGUUGACUCGCGGCAUCUCUAGCUCUAGGCUAUGUCAAAGAUAAAUGCCCACGUGCCAUUCGGUCGCCAGCCACUAAAUUUGACUUCCGAGAAGCGUCGGUGCUUGCAUUUGUCAUGAAAUAAAUAAAUUGGCUGCCGAUUUUGUUGAUAAUUUUGCCAUAGAAUUUAAUUUCAUGGACCCAAAGCUUCGCCGAUAAAUAGCAAGGUGUUUGCUCAUUUGAAUACAUCUCCAGUUGGCGCUGUUUGUGAGAGUGCAGAAAAAAUGAGCUCCUAGUCAAUAUGGUAGAGCGUUUCUUUAGUGCUCAGUAAAAUUUUGCAUUUGAGAUACCUGAGAGAAAUUUGUGUCUUAGUAAAAUUAUUUAUUUUAAGAGUGUUAAAAGUAUCAGGCAUAUUUGGAUAUUUGUAAAAAGAAAAUUAUCAUUGCACCAUUUUUAUUUUAUCUUAUGUUCAUUCAACUACUAUAAAAUUUUAACAUGUACUUUGUACCAUCUUUCUUUUCACAUAUGUAUCAACUAGCCACUUUUACAUUAGUACUAUUAAAUAAUCUUAAUAAAAUGAUAAUUUUACCCCCAAAUAAAUUAAAAGACUAUUUUAUUUUAU
rnacentral:lncRNA from 1 species